GCCGAGGUGGUGGAACUGGUAGACACGCUAUCUUGAGGGGGUAGUGGCAAUAGCUGUGCGGGUUCGAGUCCCGCCCUCGGCACCA
rnacentral:tRNA from 4 species